UACAGAGGGUGCGAGCGUUGUUCGGAAUUAUUGGGCGUAAAGGGCGCGUAGGCGGUGCGGUAAGUCACCUGUGAAAUCUCCUGGCUCAACUGGGAGCUUGCAGGCGAAACUGCCGUGCUGGAGUGUGGGAGAGGUGCGUGGAAUUCCUGGUGUAGCGGUGAAAUGCGUAGAGAUCCGGAAGAACACCGGUGGCGAAGGCGGUGAGCUGGGCAGUUGCUGACACUGAGGCGCGACAGCGUGGGGAGCAAACAGG
rnacentral:rRNA from 1 species